ACGAAGGGGGCUAGCGUUGCUCGGAAUGACUGGGCGUAAAGGGCGCGUAGGCGGAUGGCUUUGUCGGGCGUGAAAUUCCAGGGCUUAACCUUGGGACUGCGUUCGAGACGGGUUGUCUAGAGUUUGGAAGAGGGUCGUGGAAUUCCCAGUGUAGAGGUGAAAUUCGUAGAUAUUGGGAAGAACACCGGUGGCGAAGGCGGCGACCUGGUCCUUGACUGACGCUGAGGCGCGAAAGCGUGGGGAGCAAACAGGAUUAGAUACCCUGGUAGUCCACGCUGUAAACGAUGUGCGCUGGAUGUUGGGCGGCCUAGCCGUUCAGUGUCGUAGCUAACGCGGUAAGCGCACCGCCUGGGGAGUACGGCCGCAAGGUUG
rnacentral:rRNA from 1 species